rnacentral:rRNA from 1 species
UACGUAGGUGGCAAGCGUUGUCCGGAUUUAUUGGGUUUAAAGGGUGCGUAGGCGGUUCUGUAAGUCAGUGGUGAAAUACUCUAGCUUAACUAGAGGGGUGCCAAUGAUACUGCAGAACUUGAGUACAGAUGAGGUAGGCGGAAUUGAGCGGUGUAGCGGUGAAAUGCAUAGAUAUCGUCAAGAACACCGAUAGCGAAGGCAGCUUACUGGGCUGUAACUGACGCUGAUGCACGAAAGUGUGGGGAUCAAACAGG